rnacentral:rRNA from 1 species
GGAUUAGAUACCCUGGUAGUCCACGCUGUAAACGAUGGAUACUAGAUGUUCGGAGUGUUAACCCUCUGAGUAUCGCAGCUAACGCAUUAAGUAUCCCGCCUGGGGAGUACAGUCGCAAGGCCGAAACUCAAAGGAAUUGACGGGGGCCCGCACAAGCGGUGGAGUAUGUGGUUUAAUUCGAAGCAACGCGCAGAACCUUACCUGGAUUUGACAUCCCGAGACAACCUCAGAGAUGAGGCUUCCUCUUCGGAGGCUCGGUGACAGGUGCUGCAUGGCUGUCGUCAGCUCGUGUCG